rnacentral:lncRNA from 1 species
CAACUCCGAAUGGCUGGAUCCAGGGUUCUUUCCCAGGGUUUUUGUCAUAUCCAAAUGCUCAGCGGCAUUUGACUGACCAUACUUUCUUGGAACUCCAGCCUCCUUUGUUCCCCAGGCACCUCACUUUGGGUUCUCUUUUUUCUAACUGCUUUUUCCUCUUCCUCCAGCUGGUCUGCAAAUGGCACUACCCUCUCCAAAUUCCAUAUAAAUCCUCUCGUCUCCUUUCUCUACAACUGCCACCUGAGGGUGCCCGCUCCUGCAGCUUGAAGUACAAUCAGAAUCUCCAUUCUCAAAGCAGCUGAGCUCCAGACACCAGGUUCCUAACUGCCCACUGGGCACUUCUCCCCGGAGGCUGGACCCUUUCGGGCAUCUUAACCUCAGCCUGUUCAAAAUGGAACUUUUCUUUAUGUCCCUCCAAUGAAACGUUGAGGCAUAGAAGAAGGAACCUCACACCUUCCUCUUUACAAUCUCCAAAACAAGUGCGCAGCUUGGGGCUGGAGGUGCAUUUAGUGACAGUGUCACCACUACUGUUUUCUAACCACAGAUGAGUUAAGCCACAAUGCAGAUCAGCCAAAAGGAGAUGAAAAUUCUGACUGAAACUUUUAUGGAAAAAGAUUUACCAUGAUGAAAAGCGUUCAAAUUGUCCCAUUCUUUUCUCUAGGUAAUUACAUGUUAUAUUACCACUAAGUAUCAUCCCAAUCAUCAGACCAACACACUGAUUGGGUGAAAUGUUGUCCCUGUUGCAUGCCAGCUCUGUGCUGCAUAGCCUUCUUCUCUUUCUCCGCAUUCAUCAACAUCUUACCCAUCCAAACCCUUUUGGCAUGUUGCUUGUCUCUGUCUGACAUUGUUCAUGGACCACACCGAGGAGCACCCAGUUAUUCGGUUUGGAGUUUACAGACCAGGAUGUCAGUCGCAGACAGAUUACAGAUCUUUCCCCUCGUGUGAGUGGCUCUGCCUUGGCCACCCCAGAGAUGGACCCCUGACCAGGCUGGUCAAUCAGCACAUCCUUCUCCUUCAACACAGACAUGGGUCAGGUGGGUGCAGGACCCUAGGGGCCAGUGAGAGUGAUGCUCCUUCAGUGAUGCUCCUGUCUCUAGAAUUAUUCUCGGUAAGGUGAUGUUGAGGGGUCCUCUCCACCUCCUCCAUAGAAAGGGUUGGUCAGAGGAUGAAGCCAAUGGGGAGAAAUCGGAGCUGAGAGAGGGAGAGAGAGAAUCCACAAGGCCCCUCUGGAACCCUGGGAUCCAGCCAAG